rnacentral:lncRNA from 1 species
GCUUCCGUUCUUGAAGACCGCUAGACUCUUCUCACGAAGAAUGCGUCUUUUAGUUUCCUUAAUCACGGCUUGGUAUGAUGGUUUCUUCCACGAACAUGCUGUCACAAUAAGCUUAUCCUCCUUUCAGACAAGGAUGCCUGUCUACGUGGGUCACAUUCCCACCGGAUCGACCUAUCAAAACUUUCUGCAUUAUCAUCAGAUUUACGAGGCGAAAAACCUGGUGAUGUUCGACUACGGAACGGUCAAAAAUCGUCGCCUAUAUGGCCAGGCAAAGCCACCACCGUACCCGUUGGAGCGCAUAAGAGUGCCAAUUGCUUUGUUCCCUGCACCAGGAGACACGGUGGCGACCUCAGCCGACGUCUCAGAC